rnacentral:hammerhead_ribozyme from 1 species
AUCUCGCUGGAGAGUUCUAAAUAGGACGAAACACGCGUCCUGGAU